rnacentral:rRNA from 1 species
GACGAACGCUGGCGGCGUGCUUAACACAUGCCAGUCGAACGGAAAGGCCCUGCUUUUGUGGGGUGCUCGAUUGGCGAACGGGUGAGUAACACGUGAGUAACCUGCCCUUGACUUUGGGAUAACUUCAGGAAACUGGGGCUAAUACCGGAUAGGAGCUCCUGCUGCAUGGUGGGGGUUGGAGAGUUUCGGCGGUUGGGGAUGGACUCGCGGCUUAUCAGCUUGUUGGUGGGGUAGUGGCUUACCAAGGCUUUGACGGGUAGCCGGCCUGAGAGGGUGACCGGCCACAUUGGGACUGAGAGACGGCCCAGACUCGUACGGGAGGCAGCAGUGGGGAAUAUUGCACAAUGGGCGGAAGUGUGAUGCAGCAACGCCGCGUGCGGGAUGACGGCCUUCGGGUUGAAAACCGCUUUCGACGGUGACGAAGCGUGAGUGACGGUAAUGGGUAAAGAAGCACCGGCUAACUACGUG